rnacentral:rRNA from 1 species
UACGAAGGGGGCUAGCGUUGCUCGGAAUCACUGGGCGUAAAGGGUGCGUAGGCGGGUCUUUAAGUCAGGGGUGAAAUCCUGGAGCUCAACUCCAGAACUGCCUUUGAUACUGAGGAUCUUGAGUUCGGGAGAGGUGAGUGGAACUGCGAGUGUAGAGGUGAAAUUCGUAGAUAUUCGGAAGAACACCAGUGGCGAAGGCGACACACUGGCCCAAUACUGACGCUGAGGCGCGAAAGCGUGGGGAGCAAACAGG